UACGUAGGGGGGCAAGCGUUGUCCGGAAUCAUUGGGGCGUAAAGAGCGUGUAGGCGGCUCGAUAAGUCUGCUGUGAAAGUCCAGGGCUCAACCCUGGAAGGCCGGUGGAAACUGUCGGGCUAGAGUCCGGAAGAGGCGAGUGGAAUUCCCGGUGUAGCGGUGAAAUGCGCAGAUAUCGGGAGGAACACCGGUGGCGAAGGCGGCUCUCUGGACGGUGGACUGACGCUGAGACGCGAAAGCGUGGGGAG
rnacentral:rRNA from 1 species